UACGGAGGGGGCUAGCGUUGUUCGGAAUUACUGGGCGUAAAGCGCGCGUAGGCGGAUCUGCAAGUCGGGGGUGAAAUCCCGAGGCUCAACCUCGGAACUGCCUUCGAUACUGCGGGUCUCGAGUCCGGGAGAGGUGAGUGGAAUUCCUAGUGUAGAGGUGAAAUGCGUAGAUAUCGGGAGGAACACCAGUGGCGAAGGCGACUUCCUGGCCUGUUCUUGACGCUGAGGCGCGAAAGCUAGGGGAGCAAACGGG
rnacentral:rRNA from 1 species